UGGGGAAUAUUGGACAAUGGGCGAAAGCCUGAUCCAGCCAUGCCGCGUGUGUGAAGAAGGUCUUCGGAUUGUAAAGCACUUUACGUUGGGAGGAAGGGCAUUAACCUAAUACGUUAGUGUUUUGACGUUACCGACAGAAUAAGCACCGGCUAACUCUGUGCCAGCAGCCGCGGUAAUACAGAGGGUGCAAGCGUUAAUCGGAAUUACUGGGCGUAAAGCGCGCGUAGGUGGUUUGUUAAGUUGGAUGUGAAAUCCCCGGGCUCAACCUAGGAACUGCAUUCAAAACUGACUGACUAGAGUAUGGUAGAGGGUGGUGGAAUUUCCUGUGUAGCGGUGAAAUGCGUAGAUAUAGGAAGGAACACCAGUGGCGAAGGCGACCACCUGGACUAAUACUGACACUGAGGUGCGAAAGCGUGGGGAGCAAACA
rnacentral:rRNA from 1 species